GACGAACGCUGGCGGCGUGCCUAAUACAUGCAAGUAGAACGCUGAAGGAGGAGCUUGCUUCUCUGGAUGAGUUGCGAACGGGUGAGUAACGCGUAGGUAACCUGCCUGGUAGCGGGGGAUAACUAUUGGAAACGAUAGCUAAUACCGCAUAAGAGUAGAUGUUGCAUGACAUUUGCUUAAAAGGUGCAAUUGCAUCACUACCAGAUGGACCUGCGUUGUAUUAGCUAGUUGGUGGGGUAACGGCUCACCAAGGCGACGAUACAUAGCCGACCUGAGAGGGUGAUCGGCCACACUGGGAAUGAGACACGGCCCAGACUCCUACGGGAGGCAGCAGUAGGGAAUCUUCGGCAAUGGACGGAAGUCUGACCGAGCAACGCCGCGUGAGUGAAGAAGGUUUUCGGAUCGUAAAGCUCUGUUGUAAGAGAAGAACGAGUGUGAGAGUGGAAAGUUCACACUGUGACGGUAUCUUACCAGAAAGAGACGGCUAACUACGUG
rnacentral:rRNA from 1 species